UUUUAUGGAGAGUUUGAUCCUGGCUCAGGAUGAACGCUGGCGGCGUGCCUAAUACAUGCAAGUUGAGCGAACAGAUAAGGAGCUUGCUCCUUUGACGUUAGCGGCGGACGGGUGAGUAACACGUGGGUAACCUACCUAUAAGACUGGGAUAACUUCGGGAAACCGGAGCUAAUACCGGAUAAUAUUUCGAACCGCAUGGUUCGAUAGUGAAAGAUGGUUUUGCUAUCACUUAUAGAUGGACCCGCGCCGUAUUAGCUAGUUGGUAAGGUAACGGCUUACCAAGGCGACGAUACGUAGCCGACCUGAGAGGGUGAUCGGCCACACUGGAACUGAGACACGGUCCAGACUCCUACGGGAGGCAGCAGUAGGGAAUCUUCCGCAAUGGGCGAAAGCCUGACGGAGCAACGCCGCGUGAGUGAUGAAGGUCUUCGGAUCGUAAAACUCUGUUAUUAGGGAAGAACAUACGUGUAAGUAACUGUGCACGUCUUGACGGUACCUAAUCAGAAAGCCACGGCUAACUACGUGCCAGCAGCCGCGGUAAUACGUAGGUGGCAAGCGUUAUCCGGAAUUAUUGGGCGUAAAGCGCGCGUAGGCGGUUUUUUAAGUCUGAUGUGAAAGCCCACGGCUCAACCGUGGAGGGUCAUUGGAAACUGGAAAACUUGAGUGCAGAAGAGGAAAGUGGAAUUCCAUGUGUAGCGGUGAAAUGCGCAGAGAUAUGGAGGAACACCAGUGGCGAAGGCGACUUUCUGGUCUGUAACUGACGCUGAUGUGCGAAAGCGUGGGGAUCAAACAGGAUUAGAUACCCUGGUAGUCCACGCCGUAAACGAUGAGUGCUAAGUGUUAGGGGGUUUCCGCCCCUUAGUGCUGCAGCUAACGCAUUAAGCACUCCGCCUGGGGAGUACGACCGCAAGGUUGAAACUCAAAGGAAUUGACGGGGACCCGCACAAGCGGUGGAGCAUGUGGUUUAAUUCGAAGCAACGCGAAGAACCUUACCAAAUCUUGACAUCCUUUGACAACUCUAGAGAUAGAGCUUUCCCCUUCGGGGGACAAAGUGACAGGUGGUGCAUGGUUGUCGUCAGCUCGUGUCGUGAGAUGUUGGGUUAAGUCCCGCAACGAGCGCAACCCUUAAGCUUAGUUGCCAUCAUUAAGUUGGGCACUCUAAGUUGACUGCCGGUGACAAACCGGAGGAAGGUGGGGAUGACGUCAAAUCAUCAUGCCCCUUAUGAUUUGGGCUACACACGUGCUACAAUGGACAAUACAAAGGGUAGCGAAACCGCGAGGUCAAGCAAAUCCCAUAAAGUUGUUCUCAGUUCGGAUUGUAGUCUGCAACUCGACUACAUGAAGCUGGAAUCGCUAGUAAUCGUAGAUCAGCAUGCUACGGUGAAUACGUUCCCGGGUCUUGUACACACCGCCCGUCACACCACGAGAGUUUGUAACACCCGAAGCCGGUGGAGUAACCAUUUGGAGCUAGCCGUCGAAGGUGGGACAAAUGAUUGGGGUGAAGUCGUAACAAGGUAGCCGUAUCGGAAGGUGCGGCUGGAUCACCUCCUUUCUAA
rnacentral:rRNA from 1 species